CGGCUUGAACAGCGAGUGACCCGCGACGAAAGUCGCCUUCCGCAAGGACACUCGUAGAGGUGCUGCAUGGCUGUCGUCAGCUCGUGUCGUGAGAUGUUGGGUUAAGUCCCGCAACGAGCGCAACCCUUGUUUGCUGUUGCCAUCAGGUAAAGCUGGGCACUCUGCAAAGACUGCCGGUGAUAAACCGGAGGAAGGUGGGGAUGACGUCAAGUCAGCAUGGCCUUUAUGUCUGGGGCUACACACGUGCUACAAUGGCCGGUACAAACCGUCGCAAAACCGUAAGGUGGAGCUAAUCGGAGAAAGCCGGUCUCAGUUCGGAUUGUAGGCUGCAACUCGCCUGCAUGAAGUUGGAAUCGCUAGUAAUCGCGGAUCAGCACGCCGCGGUGAAUACGUUCCCGGGCCUUGUACACACCGCCCGUCACAUCACGAAAGCCGGUUGUACUAGAAGUCGCCACACCAACCCGCAAGGGAGGGAGGCGCCUAAGGUAUGGUCGGUGAUUGGGGUGAAGUCGUAACAAGGUAAGCGUAGAUGA
rnacentral:rRNA from 1 species